CAAAAUUCAUUAAAAAUUAUAAUUUUUUUUGCUAAAUUUGAUUUUUAUAUUAAUUUACAAAAAAAACAUAUAGUAAAAUUAAGAUCAAUACAUUAGUCCCUCCUCCCGUAAGACUAAAAGCACCCAAAAAAUCUAGGAAACAAAAUCCUAACCUAUAAUAAGUAACAUUACAUUCCAAGGAUAGGAUUUAAAAUCAAUCAAAUAGGCUAUAAGUGUGACCCAUCCGGAAUAAGAAACCGACCCACAGGUGGACCACAACAAAAAGGCCCAAUUAAAAAACAAACGAGCCCAUAAACCAUCAAUCAAGAGACGGACUAAGCCAUCCAACUGAUGCAAAAUCGACCCAUGUGGCAUAUUAGCAUAUUCACGAAUCCCACUAGCCACUUGAGCAAUCAGAAGCAAGCUGCUGGGAGAAAUUUUAAACUAAAAUUGAAUUUCAAAUUCGAAUUUGAAAUUGCAGUGGAACCAAAAUCAUUGCAUCAUCCCCGAGGCCAACCUCAUAAGUCCACCAAAAUAGACACUCAAACUCCGGCACUAUGCAGGGGAUCAACUCCAUAGAAUCCAGCAAAACCCCACCAUCUUCGGCAAGAUAUCUCAAGAAUCUGCAGAAAGCCAUAGCAUCCUAAGAUGACCAAAAAAGGCAGAAAAGGUUAAAUAAUCCAUUUAUCAAAAAAAUCAAGACAUAUGACAUAAUUGAAACAGAUUUUGGCCAACAGACAAACAUCCUAACCUAAACCCUUAAAAAUAAUGGGCAAUAUUUACAAAGGUACUAGAUCGUAAAGACAUUCGCACGAACCCAAACAAAACUAGUUGAUGGCAUGGACAUACUGAUAUCAUCAAUAAUAUCCAAAUCUAAGCUUUAAAAGAGAUAAGCAGGAAAAACAUAAAAUUCAGAUCGAAAGCAUAAAAUUAACAGACCCAACAAAUAUACAAAUAUACAAAUAUACAAAUAUACAAAUAUACCGAAACUGAUAAAUCCCUUUGAGUAGAAAUAGAUCAACCAAUUACACCAACACUGAGAUCUGAAGAGGAUAAGGCAUUUGAACCACAAAAGUCAGCACGUGAAGCCUCCAUGAUACCAAAAUCAGCUGCCACGGAUAGCCCAUAACCAUCUAUCCACCGACCAGUUCAUAUCCAACAUCUCAAAAACCAAACCGAGCAAUAGCUCCUCUAAUAACAGAACAUAGAAGAUCCCAUAGCCUUUAAACACCAGACUUUUUAAAAGGACUAGUAAAUUAUUUUCGAGAAGAUCCCGCUAAGAGUUGCCGGAUUGCUCCUAACAGAGAUCAAGCUAAUGAAAUGGGAUGGCUGAGGGGCAUACCCCAAAAUAAUAGCAAAUUCACCGAAAGACAAACCAGGGCUAAAGAACAAAAGGAAAAAGACAAGACAUGCCAAGUCCAAACAAAUUAUGCCAUGGCCAUCAUAAGACAGACCCUAUGAUGGCUAAAUUAUAACAAGAGCAAACCCAACAACAUGAUAAAAAUUUAGAAUAAUACAAUGCUUUGAAAAUUUUUAAAAUUAAAAGACUUAAAAGAC
rnacentral:lncRNA from 1 species